rnacentral:rRNA from 1 species
UACGAGAUGUGCGAGCGUUGUUCGGAAUCACUGGGCAUAAAGGGUGCGUAGGCGGUGCGCCAAGUCGGGUGUGAAAUCCCUUCGCUUAACGAAGGAACUGCACUCGAUACUAGCGCGCUAGAGGGUAAAAGGGGCAAGCGGAAUUCUAGGUGUAGCGGUGGAAUGCGUAGAUAUCUGGGAGAACGCCAAGGGCGAAGGCAGCUUGCUGGGUUACUUCUGACGCUGAGGCACGAAAGCUAGGGGAGCAAACAGG